UGCCAAGGUUGAUGAUCCCAUGAACAAAAGU
rnacentral:piRNA from 1 species